rnacentral:lncRNA from 1 species
GCUGAGAGAAGGGGGUCUCCUUCCUUACUUCCAGUGCUGCUUAAAGGUAGAAUGAGGGAGAUUAAGAAUGGACCAAGUGCUCUGGUCACUGAAUAAGAAAGGGAUUGAGUGUGGGCAUUUGCUGUCUGGGGCCAGCUGGAGAAAACACAGACCCAUGUGCUGAACUCAGCCUUCUCUCUUGGGGAGGAGGCAGGUAGAAUUUCAUUCAGAAUGAAAACAGGAAGGAAAUAUUCUCUAAGCAAUAAAUGGUAU